UACGAAGGUGGCAAGCGUUGUUCGGAUUCACUGGGCGUACAGGGUGUGUAGGCGGUUUGGUAAGCCUUCUGUUAAAGCUUCGGGCCCAACCCGGAAAGCGCAGAGGGUACUGCCAGGCUAGAGGGCGGGAGAGGAGCGCGGAAUUCCUGGUGUAGCGGUGAAAUGCGUAGAUAUCAGGAGGAACACCGGUGGUGUAGACGGCUUUCUGGACCGUAACUGACGCUGAGACACGAAAGCGUGGGUAGCAAACAGG
rnacentral:rRNA from 1 species